CUGCAUCCACUGAUAGACCUCGAACAGUUUAUGGUUGUUCUUCUGGUUUGCACUAGGAUGCAAAAGGAAACUCUCCCUUCGCUUCCUGCCUGCCUUUGUGGCAGUCCAGAUUGAAUUGGGGAGUACAUCU
ensembl:snoRNA Snora31 small nucleolar RNA, H/ACA box 31